CGCAAGAAAAAAAGAUUUACUUGGAGAAAAAAGGAGAAAUGGAUAACAAGCCUAGAUAAUGAUGAGGGCCCAGCUUGUUACCUGAAUUUGUGCUUGGGCAUUGACCCAAUCUGGGGGGAGACUUUAGGGACUAAAAAAGAUAGUACCUUGGAUGGUGAGGGGCACGAUCUACUAGGGGAAAGCCGAGAGAUAGAGAAGGAAAAGUGAGGGUUUGUGGAAAAAGAGGUGUUUGAGGCCGAAACGAGUGAAGAAAAAUUGUUAGCCCUGAUGAUUUUGAGUGAAAGAGAGGAACAGGACUUGUGCUCAAUUUACUCUACUCUAGAGGAGUUCGAUGGCAAAGGGAGAUUGGUGUCCAAUGCCACCUAUGACGAGGAUUUGUCAAACCUUGCAAUGAUUAUGGUUAAGGAUAAUGCCCAGGCGAUUGCUACUAACCAUGACUCAGAGAUUGAAAAAUCUUGCAGAUAAGUUUGGAGGGCGCCAACAUUAUUGCAGGUGAAAUGGAUUAUUGUUCUAAUUGGGUCG
rnacentral:lncRNA from 1 species